rnacentral:ncRNA from 2 species
UUAUCUCAUCUAGCGCCAUGCACCUGUUGGAUACAGGUUGACGAGGAAAAGGGUUAUCGAAAAUUCGGCGGACGCCCUUUCGUACCGCUUCCAGUGCGAGAUGUACCGGCAAAUAUGCAGGUGACUGCAAAACAAAUACGGUAUAAGGAAGCUU